AACGGCCCAAAAUUCGUACGGGAAGGUUGCAGUAGGGAAUCUUGCACAAUGGGCGCAAGCCUGAUGGAGCAACGUCCGCGUGAGAGAUGAAGGCUUUCGGAUCGUAAAAGCACUGUUGUAUGGGAAGAAAUGCUAAAAUAGGGAAUGAUUUUAGUUUGACGGUACCAUACCAGAAAGGGACGGCUAAAUACGUGCCAGCAGCCGCGGUAAUACGUAUGUCCCGAGCGUUAUCCGGAUUUAUUGGGCGUAAAGCGAGCGCAGACGGUUGAUUAAGUCUGAUGUGAAAGCCCGGAGCUCAACUCCGGAAUGGCAUUGGAAACUGGUUAACUUGAGUGUUGUAGAGGUAAGUGGAACUCCAUGUGUAGCGGUGGAAUGCGUAGAUAUAUGGAAGAACACCAGUGGCGAAGGCGGCUUACUGGACAACAACUGACGUUGAGGCUCGAAAGUGUGGGUAGCAAACAGGAUUAGAUACCCUGGUAGUCCACACCGUAAACGAUGAAUACUAGGUGUUAGGAGGUUUCCGCCUCUUAGUGCCGAAGCUAACGCAUUAAGUAUUCCGCCUGGGGAGUACGACCGCAAGGUUGAAACUCAAAGGAAUUGACGGGGACCCGCACAAGCGGUGGAGCAUGUGGUUUAAUUCGAAGCAACGCGAAGAACCUUACCAGGUCUUGACAUCCUUUGAAGCUUUUAGAGAUAGAAGUGUUCUCUUCGGAGACAAAGUGACAGGUGGUGCAUGGUCGUCGUCAGCUCGUGUCGUGAGAUGUUGGGUUAAGUCCCGCAACGAGCGCAACCCUUAUUGUUAGUUGCCAGCAUUCAGUUGGGCACUCUAGCGAGACUGCCGGUGACAAACCGGAGGAAGGCGGGGACGACGUCAGAUCAUCAUGCCCCUUAUGACCUGGGCUACACACGUGCUACAAUGGCGUAUACAACGAGUUGCCAACCUGCGAAGGUGAGCUAAUCUCUUAAAGUACGUCUCAGUUCGGACUGCAGUCUGCAACUCGACUGCACGAAGUCCGGAAUCGCUAGUAAUCGCGGAUCAGCACGCCGGGUUAUUCGCCG
rnacentral:rRNA from 1 species